UUUAUUGGAGAGUUUGAUCCUGGCUCAGGAUGAACGCUGGCGGCGUGCCUAAUACAUGCAAGUCGAGCGAAUGGAUUAAGAGCUUGCUCUUAUGAAGUUAGCGGCGGACGGGUG
rnacentral:rRNA from 1 species